AGCAGCCGCGGUAAUUCCAGCUCCAAUAGCGUAUAUUAAAGUUGUUGCAGUUAAAAAGCUCGUAGUUGAAUUUCGGGAUCAAUACGCCGGUCGUGCUUCGGUACGUACUAACGAUAUUGAUUUCUCCCUUCUGACGAACCGUGAUGUCAUUAAUUUGGUGUUACGGGGAGUCAGGACUGUUACUUUGAAAAAAUUAGAGUGUUUAAAGCAAGCAAUCGCUCGAAUACAUUAGCAUGGAAUAAUGAAAUAGGACGUUCGAACCUAUUUUGUUGGUUUCUAGGAUCGACGUAAUGAUUAAUAGGGAUAGUUGGGGGCAUUAGUAUUCAAUUGUCAGAGGUGAAAUUCUUGGAUUUAUUGAAGACUAACUACUGCGAAAGCAUUUGCCAAGGAUGUUUUCAUUAAUCAAGAACGAAAGUUAGGGGAUCGAAGACGAUCAGAUACCGUCGUAGUCUUAACCAUAAACUAUGCCGACUAGGGAUCGGAUGAUGUUAAUUUUUUAAUGACUCAUUCGGCGCCUUAC
rnacentral:rRNA from 1 species